ACAGAAUGAUGACAGAAUCUUAUAUUGAUUACAAUGAUGAAUCAUAUGAGCUUUUUAACACUGACUUUA